rnacentral:rRNA from 1 species
UACGUAGGGUGCAAGCGUUAAUCGGAAUUACUGGGCGUAAAGCGUGCGCAGGCGGUUGUGCAAGACAGAUGUGAAAUCCCCGGGCUUAACCUGGGAACUGCAUUUGUGACUGCAUGGCUGGAGUGCGGCAGAGGGGGAUGGAAUUCCGCGUGUAGCAGUGAAAUGCGUAGAUAUGCGGAGGAACACCAAUGGCGAAGGCAAUCCCCUGGGCCUGCACUGACGCUCAUGCACGAAAGCGUGGGGAGCAAACAGG